GACAGAGGUGCCGAGCGUUAGGCGGAAUCACUGGGCUUAAAGCGUGUGUAGGCGGGCGGGCAAGUACCUUGUGAAAGCCCCGGGCUCAACCUGGGAGGUGCGCUUGAUACUCGAGGGCUUGAGUGCGGGAGAGGAGAGUGGAAUUCCCAGUGUAGAGGUGAAAUUCGUAGAUAUUGGGAAGAACACCGGUGGCGAAGGCGGCUCUCUGGACCGUAACUGACGCUGAGGCGCGAAAGCGUGGGGAGCAAACAGG
rnacentral:rRNA from 1 species